AUUGCACGCUGGCGGCAGGCUUAACACAUGCAAGUCGAACGAGUGGCGGACGGGUGAGUAAUGCUUGGGACUCUAGCUUAUGGCUGGGGAUAACUACGGGACACUGUAGCUAAUACCGCGUACCAUAGGAUGAGCCCAAGUGGGAUUAGGUAGUUGGUGAGGUAAAGGCUAACCAAGCCGACGAUCUCUAGCUGGUAUGAGAGGAUGACCAGCAAGAGUGGGACUGAGACACGGCCCAGACGCCUACGGGAGGCAGCAGUGGGGAAUAUUGCGCAAUGGGGGAAACCGGACGCAGCCAGGCCGCGUGAAGGAAGAAGGCCUUCGGGUUGUAAAGUUCUUUCGGUAGCGAGGCGUUAACUACAGAAGAAGCACCGGCUAACGCCGUGCCAGCAGCCGCGGUAAUUC
rnacentral:rRNA from 1 species